AUGACUAAUUCCGCACGCCGUCACCAGAAAUCUCCAAGCUUUCAUAAAACCAACUCUGAUGAAAGUUGUAGUGUGGACAUGAGUGAUAGUGAUGUUUCCUCUCAAUCAAAAUCAACCAGGAAUAGCCGUAGAACAUCUUCGAAGAAACUUAAGAGAGCUACUACCGCCGAAGUUAAGCAGACCAUCAACUGGAAAUGCGAUCCAGUGAAGAUACGCGACAUUAUAAAACAACUAUGUCCAGAACAGCUAAAAUGGAUAGAAGAAUUGGGAUUUGGAUCACUCAUCGACAUGAUUGAGUGCAAGUUACCAAGAAAGCUAACUAUAUGGCUGAUGAAAAGAGUUGACUGUGACAGCAAGUGUCUAGUAUUCAGAAACAAGAAGGUUUCUAUAGUACAUGCUGUUGAAAACCUGUUGAAGUUACCUGCUCUUGAUAAAGCAGUUCCAAUGCCCCGUCCCGGUAGGGUUCGUGACAAGCCUUUUAGAGGUAAAACUGAAUUCAAUCUGCUACGGCCGGAAGAGGAGAAUCACUAA
rnacentral:rRNA from 1 species